AAUAGCCACUGAUGGACCUAUCCUGCCGGGACUCUCUAAGUCUUUUUUGAACCCAGUUAUCUCUUUGUCUUCACAACAUACCCCUGGCAAUGAGUUCCACAGGUUUACUGUGCGUUGUGUGAAAAAUAUACUUCCUUUUGUUUGUUUU